UGGGGAAUCUUGGACAAUGGGCGCAAGCCUGAUCCAGCCAUGCCGCGUGAGUGAUGAAGGCCUUAGGGUUGUAAAGCUCUUUUUGGCGGGGACGAUAAUGACGGUACCCGCAGAAUAAGUCCCGGCUAACUUCGUGCCAGCAGCCGCGGUAAUACGAAGGGGACUAGCGUUGUUCGGAAUCACUGGGCGUAAAGCGCACGUAGGCGGAUUUGUAAGUCAGGGGUGAAAUCCCGGGGCUCAACCUCGGAACUGCCUUUGAUACUGGCUGUCUCGAGGUCGAGAGAGGUUGGUGGAAUUCCUAGUGUAGAGGUGAAAUUCGUAGAUAUUAGGAAGAACACCAGUGGCGAAGGCGGCCAACUGGCUCGAUACUGACGCUGAGGUGCGAAAGCGUGGGGAGCAAACAGGAUUAGAUACCCAUGUAGUCCCUGAGCGGGCUGGCAAGGCGCAU
rnacentral:rRNA from 1 species